AGCCAUAGCCAUAUCACCCUGCAGUUACUUACUAAAGCUAAGCAGGGCUGAGCCUGGUCAGUACUUUGAUGGGAGACCACAUGGGAAAACUAGGUUGCUGUUGGAA
rnacentral:rRNA from 1 species